AUGAACGCUGGCGGCGUGGAUAAGGCAUGCAAGUCAAGGGGGCCCGCAAGGGCAACCGGCAAACGGGGUAGUAACACGUAGGUACUUACCGUUCACACGGGCAUAACUCAUCGAAAGGUGAGCUAAUACCCGAUGGUUCCCGAAAGGGUAAAGGUUUCGAGCAAUUGAAACCGGUGGAUGAAAGGCCUGCGGGCUAUCAGCUAGUUGGUAGGGUAAUGGCCUACCAAGGCAAUGACGGCUAGGGGAGGUGAGAGCCUGACCCCCACCACUGGGACUGCGACACGGCCCAGACACCUACGGGUGGCUGCAGUCGAGAAUCUUCCACAAUGGGCGAAAGCCUGAUGGAGCGACGCCGCGUGCAGGAUGAAGACCUUCGGGUUGUAAACUGCUUUUAUGGGGGAAGAACCUUCGGGUGACUGUACCCCAAGAAUAAGGGCUUGCUAACCUCGUGCCAGCAGCCGCGGUAAUACGAGGGGCCCAAGCGUUAUCCGGAAUUACUGGGCGUAAAGGGUCCGUAGGGGGCUAUGUUAGUCUUUCGUUAAAUCUUCCGGCUUAACCCGGAAAAGUGCGAGGGAAACGGCAUGGCUUGAAGACAUGAGAGUCAGGUGGAACUCACAGUGUAGGGGUGAAAUCCGUUGAUAUUGUGGGGAACACCAAAGGCGAAAGCAAUCUGCUGGCGCGUACCUGACCCUGAGGGACGAAAGCGUGGGGAUCGAAAAGGAUUAGAUACCCUUGUAGUCCACGCCCUAAACGAUGAUGACUGGCUAUUGGAAGUAUCGACCCUUCCAGUGGCGAAGCUAACGCGUUAAGUCAUCCGCCUGGGAAGUACGGCCGCAAGGCUAAAACUCAAAGGAAUAGACGGGGACUCGCACAAGCGGUGGAGCAUGUGGUUCAAUUCGAUGGUAAGCGAAGCACCUUACCAGGGCUUGACAUUCCAGUGAACCUCGACAGAAACGUUGAGGGUCUCACAAGGACACUGGAACAGGUGAUGCAUGGUUGUCGUCAGUUCGUGGUGUGAAUCGUUCCCUUAAGUGGGGUAACGAACGCAACCCCUGUCCUGCGUUACAAGUGUCGCAGGAGACCGCCCCCGCCAAAAUUUUCGAACAGAGUUCAAAAAUUUUGGCGGGGGAGGAAGGUGGGGAUGACGCCAAAUCAGCAUGUCCCUCUGACGCCCUGGGCUACACACAUGCUACAAUGGCCGGUACAAAGGGAAGCUAAGCCGUAAGGUGGAGCAAAUCCCUCGAAAACCGGUCUCAGUUCGGAUUGAGGUCUGCAACUCGACCUCAUGAAGUUGGAAUCGCUAGUAAUCGCGGAUCAGCACGCCGCGGUGAAUACGUUCUCGGGUCUUGUACUCACCGCCCGUCACGUCAAGGGAGCCGGGAGUACCCGAAGUCUCACAUAUGUGGGCCGAAGGUAAGCUCGGUAACAGGGACGAAGUCGUAACAAGGUAA
rnacentral:rRNA from 1 species